ACUUAAAUUGAAGAGUUUGAUCAUGGCUCAGAUUGAACGCUGGCGGCAGGCCUAACACAUGCAAGUCGAACGGUAGCACAGAGAGCUUGCUCUCGGGUGACGAGUGGCGGACGGGGGAGUAAUGUCU
rnacentral:rRNA from 1 species